rnacentral:snoRNA from 1 species
ACUAUAGAUGAUGAUGAAAUGGUCCACUCUAUUUUGAAUGGUCUUGAUUUUGACUAUAACCCCUUUGUGACACCUAUGCUUGGUCGCAUUGAGUUUCUUUC